CCUACGGGAGGCAGCAGUCGAGAAUCAUUCACAAUGGGGGAAACCCUGAUGGUGCGACGCCGCGUGGGGGAAUGAAGGUCUUCGGAUUGUAAACCCCUGUCAUGUGGGAGCAAAUUAAAAAGAUAGUACCACAAGAGGAAGAGACGGCUAACUCUGUGCCAGCAGCCGCGGUAAUACAGAGGUCUCAAGCGUUGUUCGGAAUCACUGGGCGUAAAGUGUGCGUAGGCUGUUUCGUAAGUCGUGUGUGAAAGGCGCGGGCUCAACCCGCGGACGGCACAUGAUACUGCGAGACUAGAGUAAUGGAGGGGGAACCGGAAUUCUCGGUGUAGCAGUGAAAUGCGUAGAUAUCGAGAGGAACACUCGUGGCGAAGGCGGGUUCCUGGACAUUAACUGACGCUGAGGCACGAAGGCCAGGGGAGCGAAAGGGAUUAGAUACCCUAGUAGUC
rnacentral:rRNA from 1 species